GAUUCGGGGAAGAUCUACUCUUGGGGGAGUGGGCAAGAGGGACAGCUGGGACAUGGCGACAGCAGAACCCGGGUGUCCAGGCCCUGUCUCCUGGGCUCUCCUCACCUGGAGGGAGGAGUACGGCGCGUGGGGGCAGGGGACAGCUACAGCUCAGCCGUCGCCGCAGAUGGGGAGCUGGUUUUAUGGGGUCGGAUCCCCAGUCUGUCCGGGGACGCUGACCGUAAGGUCUUCCAGAGACUCUGGAGCCCACAACCCGUCCCACUGGAAGGCAUGAAGGUGUUGGAGGUAGCCUGCGGUACCUGGCACAUGAUGGCUCUGGUGACAGGGGGCCAAGGGACGAAGAGAGAAUAUGCUGUUCCAAAAGGGAGAAGCUGCAUCAAAAAUACCAUGUGCAGUCUUCUACUAGCAUCUUCUACCUCCCUACCAACAUCUACUAACCCCCUACCAAACACUACUAACCCCCAACCACAAUCUACUAACCCCUGUCCAACAUAUACUAACCCCCUACCAACAUCAAACCCACUUCCAACAUCUACUAACCCCCUUCCAACAUCUACUAACCCCUUUCCAACAUCUACUAACCCCUUUCCAACAUCUACUAACCCCCUUCCAACAUCUACUAACCCCUUUCCAACAUCUACUAACCCCUUUCCAACAUCUACUAACCCCCUUCCAACAUCUACUAACCUCUUUCCAACAUCUACUAACCCCUGUCCAACAUCUCCACAUCCUGCAGUCUUUGAACAGGAAGCCCAAACCAAGACCCAGCCGGCUUGUUUGGGCAGUGGUCCUCAGGUAGCCCCCCACCUCUACGAAGACGGAGUACGUGCUCAUUCCCUGCCCGCCCGAGUGGACCCCAGACCCGUCCUGGCUCAAGACACACUGCACCGGGGGGGGAGGAGACAAGGGCCCCCCCGGGGCCCCGACCGAGACAGACGGAGAAGGAGUGCGAAAGAAGGCGGAGAGGAUGACGAUGAAGAAGAUGAAGAAGAUGAAGGAGAAGGAGUGGAAAGAGAGAAAGGAGGGAGGGAUACGGGCCUCGCCGCGGCGGGGUCUCCGACGGAGAAGGACGGGACAGGAAAUGGGCGCUCAUCAAUCAAAUCCGACAGGGC